CUACGGGAGGCUGCAGUGGGGAAUCUUAGACAAUGGGGGAAACCCUGAUCUAGCCAUGCCGCGUGAUCGAUGAAGGCCUUAGGGUUGUAAAGAUCUUUCAGGUGGGAAGAUAAUGACUGUACCACCAGAAGAAGCCCCGGCUAACUCCGUGCCAGCAGCCGCGGUAAUACGGAGGGGGCUAGCGUUAUUCGGAAUUACUGGGCGUAAAGCGCACGUAGGCGGACUGAAAAGUCAGAGGUGAAAUCCCAGGGCUCAACCUUGGAACUGCCUUUGAAACUCUCAGUCUUGAGGUCGAGAGAGGUGAGUGGAAUUCCGAGUGUAGAGGUGAAAUUCAUAGAUAUUCGGAGGAACACCAGUGGCGAAGGCGGCUCACUGGCUCGAUACUGACGCUGAGGUGCGAAAGCGUGGGGAGCAAACAGGAUUAGAUACCCGCGUAGUC
rnacentral:rRNA from 1 species